AGUCUUAUAGUCAAAAUGAUAUUAAAUUGCAAAUUUAAUGGUAACAUAAAAUGUUUAAGGCUU
rnacentral:tRNA from 1 species